rnacentral:tRNA from 1 species
CACUUCGGCCGGGCGUCGAUCCCGGGACCUCGCGCGUGUGAAGCGCGCGCUCUACCAACUGAGCUACCGAAGC